AUGGACCUGGGCGGGGUGCUGAUGGCGGCCGCGGACGCGGGGGUGGGCGGCGGGGACCUCGGCAUGCUCGGAUCUAGGCUGCUCAAGCACGGGAGGGGCAAUGAGGCCGACGAGCACGGCUGGGGCGGCGGCAGGCCGGCGUCCAAGCAGGCCCGGGUCGCCGGGGACAGCGACGCGGUGUCCGAGGCCGUCAAGGCGGCCGCGCCCUACCUGCUCGGCACCUGCAGCCCCGGGCACGGCCGGGAGAAGAUGCUCAGCUUCUCCUCCUCGCAGCCGGCCUCCUGCCCCUCCGCCGCUCAGGCCGCGCUGCCGCUCUACUACGGCACGCCCGCUUCUUGCUCAGGGUUGAGCUCAGUGAGGGGGCCCUUCACGCCGUCGCAGUGGAUGGAGCUGGAGCACCAGGCCCUGAUCUACAAGUACCUGGCGGCCAACAUCGCCGUGCCUCACAACCUCGUCGUCCCCAUCCGCCGGAGCGUCACCUCGCUCUACCCGUCCGCCUACUUUGGCUCCUCCACAUUGGGGUGGGGGCCUUUCCAGCUGGGCUACUCCGGGAGCGCGGACCUGGAGCCCGGGCGGUGCCGCCGGACGGACGGCAAGAAGUGGCGGUGCUCCAGGGACGCCGUCGCCGACCAGAAGUACUGCGAGCGGCAUAUGAACCGGGGACGCCAUCGUUCAAGAAAGCAUGUGGAAGGCCAGCCUGGCCAUGCCGCGAAAGCGAUGCCUGCGACGGCCGCUGCUGCCGCCCAGCCCGGUGCUCUCGCCACCGGGGGCGGCGGCGGAGCUCCCGCCGGCGCCGCCAUCUGCCACGAGCAGCAACCGUUGAAGAACUACGCCGCCAGCACCAUUGAUCCUUGUUCACUGCAAUAUAACAGGGAAAUGGUGAGCAAGCAGCAACACGAGUGCGAGCAAGUGCAGGACUCCGACACCCUCUCGAUGCUGACCUCCAUGAGCGCGAGGAACACCAAUGCAGGCAGCAUGUUCCCGUUCUCAAAGGAACAUCAUAACCACAAUCCUUUCGAGGUGACGAGCUCGAGGCCGGACUACGGGCUGGUUUCAUCCGACUCGCUGAUGAGCUCCCCUCACAGCUCCCUGGAGAACGUCAACCUGCUCACCUCGCAGCGAGCUCUCUCGAGCGAGCAGCAGAGCUCGCUCUCCCUGCAGCACUUCGCGGACUGGCCGAGGACGCCCUCGCAGCAGGGGCAGGGAGGAGGUCUCUCAUGGCCGGACGCCGAGGACAUGCAAGCUCAUCAGAGGACCCAGCUCUCGGUGUCCGCCGUUCCAAUGGCGUCCUCUGACCUGUCGUCGGCCUCCACGUCCCCGAUCCACGAGAAGCUCAUGCUGUCGCCCCUCAAGCUGAGCCGCGAGUACAGCCCCAUCGGCCUCAGCGUCGCGGCCACGGCGGCGGUGGCGAAGGACGAGGGGGAGGCGAACUGGAUGCCCAUGUUCCGCGACUCGUCCAUGGGCGGGCCGCUGGGGGAGGCUCUGAACAAGAACAAUGGCGGCAACAUGGAGGCCAAGAGCUACCUGUCGGCGUCGCUGAACCUGAUGACGGACGCCUGGGACUCGAGCCCGCUGGAGUCGUCGCCGGUGGGGGUCCUGCAGAGGACCGCCUUCGGAUCGGUGUCCAGCAGCACCGGCAGCAGCCCCAGGCAGGAGUACCACGGCGUGUAUGAUGGUAACCCGCGGGAUGAUCUCGGCUCCAUCGUCGUGAAUCACCCCAGCAUCCGCCUGAUGUGA
rnacentral:rRNA from 1 species